UACCGAGCGAUUCCGACUGCGACCUACUCUAGAUAGAGUGGGGUCGUGCAAAACAGACAAUGACCUUUAAAAGACAAUAUGCUAAUAAAUAGCUGUGGCGCGGGCCGAGGCACUCCACACAAAGGGACCUUGGGAAACCGGCAGGGUUUUAAUCAGGUGCGGCUCUUUUUAAAAAGAGCCCGUGGCCACAUAAUUGAUCCCAAAAGGAGGACGGAAGAGGGGGUGAGGGGAUUUAAAUCUACUAUAGGUUCCCACUCUCCAAAGGCCACAAAUGCACAACCAGUGAUUCCGAGAUACGGAUGAGAUAAGCGAGCUCGGAGCUCGCCAGCGGUCACGAUGCCUGCCAACGCGCCGCUCGGAACGGCAUUUGUCAAAGAGACCGCAACGUAUACACACGUGAACCCCUUGGCAAGCGGAAAACACGGCUUGGCUAAACUGUGGUUUGCGCUGAUUACAGGUCUGCAGAUGCUGCCGAUUCCAUCAGAGAAAAACAUGACAAGUAGGCGGGAUCAUCUGACUCGCAGCUGUCAGGUGAAACCACAAAAGAUUGCUCCUGGCACACUGGCCUCUGGGUUAUUUUGGAUCUGGUGAACAGUGAAGUCAGGCUGCUUUACAGUAUUUAGCAUCAAAGUCUAAACAAAAGAGCUUCUCAAGUUCCCUACUCUGAUACAAGUGUCUGCUGCAACUGACUUAAGUAAACUUGGAGGGGGAAAAACAAUUAUGUACUGUGGUUUUAAAUGUCUCUAACCAAGGGAGUGGAAAAUAAAUCA